rnacentral:rRNA from 1 species
UACGUAGGUGGCAAGCGUUAUCCGGAAUUAUUGGGCGUAAAGAGCGCGCAGGUGGUUGAUUAAGUCUGAUGUGAAAGCCCACGGCUUAACCGUGGAGGGUCAUUGGAAACUGGUCGACUUGAGUGCAGAAGAGGGAAGUGGAAUUCCAUGUGUAGCGGUGAAAUGCGUAGAGAUAUGGAGGAACACCAGUGGCGAAGGCGACUUUCUGGUCUGUAACUGACGCUGAGGCUCGAAAGCGUGGGGAGCGAACAGGAUUAGAUACCCCCGUA